CCUACGGGAGGCAGCAGUGGGGAAUCUUGCGCAAUGGGGGCAACCCUGACGCAGCCAUGCCGCGUGAAUGAUGAAGGCCUUAGGGUUGUAAAGUUCUUUUGCCCGUGACGAUGAUGACGGUAACGGGAGAAUAAGCUCCGGCUAACUUCGUGCCAGCAGCCGCGGUAAUACGAAGGGGGCUAGCGUUGUUCGGAAUUACUGGGCGUAAAGCGCGCGCAGGCGGUUCGAUAAGUUAGGGGUGAAAUCCCUGGGCUCAACCCAGGAAUGGCCUUUAAGACUGUCGAGCUAGAGGACGAGAGAGGUGAGUGGAAUUCCCAGUGUAGAGGUGAAAUUCGUAGAUAUUGGGAAGAACACCGGUGGCGAAGGCGGCUCACUGGCUCGUUUCUGACGCUGAGGCGCGAAAGCGUGGGGAGCAAACAGGAUUAGAUACCCUGGUAGUCCACGCCCUAAACGAUGAGUGCCAGGUGUCGGGAAGCUUAGCUUCUCGGCGCCGCAGCUAACGCCUUAAGCACUCCGCCUGGGGAGUACGGCCGCAAGGUAAAACUCAAAGGAAUUAGACGG
rnacentral:rRNA from 1 species